rnacentral:rRNA from 1 species
ACAUGCAAGUCGAACGGUGAAGCAGAGCUUGCUCUGUGGAUCAGUGGCGAACGGGUGAGUAACACGUGAGUAACCUGCCCUUGACUCUGGGAUAAGCGUUGGAAACGACGUCUAAUACCGGAUACGAACCUCAACCGCAUGGUUAGGGGUUGGAAAGAUUUUUUGGUCAAGGAUGGACUCGCGGCCUAUCAGCUUGUUGGUGAGGUAAUGGCUCACCAAGGCGACGACGGGUAGCCGGCCUGAGAGGGUGACCGGCCACACUGGGACUGAGACACGGCCCAGACUCCUACGGGAGGCAGCAGUGGGGAAUAUUGCACAAUGGGCGCAAGCCUGAUGCAGCAACGCCGCGUGAGGGAUGACGGCCUUCGGGUUGUAAACCUCUUUUAGUAGGGAAGAAGCGAAAGUGACGGUACCUGCAGAAAAAGCACCGGCUAACUACGUGCCAGCAGCCGCGGUAAUACGUAGGGUGCAAGCGUUGUCCGGAAUUAUUGGGCGUAAAGAGCUCGUAGGCGGUUUGUCGCGUCUGCUGUGAAAACUGGAGGCUCAACCUCCAGCCUGCAGUGGGUACGGGCAGACUAGAGUGCGGUAGGGGAGAUUGGAAUUCCUGGUGUAGCGGUGGAAUGCGCAGAUAUCAGGAGGAACACCGAUGGCGAAGGCAGAUCUCUGGGCCGUAACUGACGCUGAGGAGCGAAAGCGUGGGGAGCGAACAGGAUUAGAUACCCUGGUAGUCCACGCCGUAAACGUUGGGAACUAGAUG